CCUCGCCGCCCCUCUCCUCCGAGGGCUUGCAAGCUCCUCCCCCUCCCUGUCCCCUCCACCGAUGGCCUAUUGCGAGCAUGAUUGUGGUGGACGCGGCCGCAUCCCCUGGUAGAGGAGUCGGGGGGCGACGGUGGCGAGUAGCUGAGGAGGAGGGCGGAGGAAUCGAGGCGGCGGUGGCGAGGAGCCAAGGAGGAUGCCACACCUGGAGGAUGGGUUGCUCCAUCAUCUCUGGGCUCAAUGCCCUCUACAACGUCGUGACGGGCAGCAGCAACGUCUGGAUUGCCGCUUCCGCGUCCUCCGCCAGAUCGAUGAAGGUGGCUUUGCCAUCAUCUACCUCAUCAUGGAGCAGCAGCAGCCUCCGACGCCGCGCUCGCCAGGCGUCACGGUGCCCACAUCUCAGCAGACGGAAGUCGGGACGGACGCGGCGGCAUCACAUUGGAGGAGCGGACGAGGUGUGACCACGUUCCUCGGCGAUGACGGAAGCCCGGUCGUGGUCUCACAAGGGGCGCCGGCAUCGUGACCCGCGUUGAGAUGCGCGGCGACGGCAGGGGACUUCCCCUCAUCGACGAGCACUGAACGUGGCCAUUGCCUCCACGAGCGUCAGGGCGAGGAUGUCACCACGUGAUCAGGGAGGCCGGCAGCGGCAGCAGGCUCCGGAGGCGUCUUACAGGUUACAGCGGUUGAGCUGCAGGCAAGAAAAGCGGGCGCACAAUGGCGUGUGAGGUAAGCCGUUCGACGGAAUGCUCCAAAAGACGCACAGAUGCAUAUGGUAUCCGUCGUGCUGCUCUGCAUGCUAGGCGGCCAUGGGCGAUGGGGAGGGGGAACAUCGACUGGUAGGGCUGCUCCAUGUUGGAUUAGUUGGGGCUCCUGCUCGCGGCUGGCCUGCUCCUUCAGGAGCAGUAAUUUUGCAGUGAUGGACCUCAUGUCAGCUUUAGGGUACAGUUUAAAUUUUUAGCAUCCAUUGUUUUUUGGUUAGCCAAAUAAUUUUUCUAUGUAAUGCAGUAAAAUACGUUUUCUGAUGGGAAUAAUAUCAGAUGCGGGGAAGUUUUGA